GAUGAACGCUGGCGGCAUGCCUAACACAUGCAAGUCGAACGAAGCACAUGAGACAGCUUGCUGAGGAUUGUGACUUAGUGGCGAACGGGUGAGUAAUGCAUGAGCAACCUGCCCUUCAGUGGGGGACAACAGUUGGAAACGACUGCUAAUACCGCAUAACACUUCCGAAAGGCAUCUUUUGGAAGUCAAAGAUUUAUUGCUGAAGGAUGGGCUCAUGUCUGAUUAGCUAGUUGGUAGGGUAACGGCCUACCAAGGCGACGAUCAGUAGCCGGUCUGAGGAGGGUGACCGGCCACUAGUUGGGACUGAGACGACCGGACCCAAACUCCGUACGGGAGGCAGCAGG
rnacentral:rRNA from 1 species